GACGAACGCUGGCGGCGUGCCUAAUACAUGCAAGUAGGACGCACAGCCUAUACCGUAGCUUGCUACACCAUAGGCUGUGAGUUGCGAACGGGUGAGUAACGCGUAGGUAACCUGCCUAUUAGAGGGGGAUAACUAUUGGAAACGAUAGCUAAUACCGCAUAACAGUAUGUAACACAUGUUAGAUGCUUGAAAGAUGCAAUUGCAUCGCUAGUAGAUGGACCUGCGUUGUAUUAGCUAGUAGGUAGGGUAAAGGCCUACCUAGGCAACGAUACAUAGCCGACCUGAGAGGGUGAUCGGCCACACUGGGACUGAGACACGGCCCAGACUCCUACGGGAGGCAGCAGUAGGGAAUCUUCGGCAAUGGGGGGAACCCUGACCGAGCAACGCCGCGUGAGUGAAGAAGGUUUU
rnacentral:rRNA from 1 species